rnacentral:lncRNA from 1 species
UGAUAUUUUAAAUUCUAAAUAUAUAAUACUAUUACUUAAAUUUUUUAUUUAUUCAAAAAAAUAAAUGUUAUAAUUUUCUAUUUACUAACGUCUCUCGCUAACCUUUGUAAUUCCGGCGACCUCAACCGGAGUCAGGCAAGUUAAAUACCCUCCUCCCUUCUAUAGCAUUUCCCGUUCUUUUCUUCUCCCUCAUCCUUCCUCUCCUCUUUUCUCCUCUAACCCUUCCAAUCCUCUUUAUCUUCGGAUUUGUCCCCCCUCCCCCAUUCUUUUCUCCAGAUUUUGUGUUUUUUUGUUUGUUUCUUGUUUUCAUUUUUUCUCUGUCGACGAGCAUCUCCGCCGGGCAGCGGCGUUAUUCUUGGGUGGCUAGGCCUGCUUAGUCAUCUUCUAUCCUUCCCAGGAGUGCUGCUUGUCAAAUUUUUUGGCGUGGUAGUGGCGGUAGAGAACUCUGAGGGGUAAUUUUCCGGCGAGCCUUGAGAGGCAAGUGAGGCCCAGACGAGGGCAACUGGACGUGGCAGCGCAUAGGUAUUUUCAAACCGUAGCUGCUGUUGGUCAACACUAUUUUGGCAUCCGUAGACAUUCUAGGUUUUAUCAUUCCUUCUUUGUAUUUGUGUAUUGAUAUAGGCUUUGUUGUGUGCUUUUUACCGUUGAGAAUUGCAUUAGUUUCCUGACUUUGUU